AAUGAACGCUGGCGGCGUGCCUAACACAUGCAAGUCGAACGCGAAAGCCCUGCUUGCAGGGCGAGUAGAGUGGCGAACGGGUGAGUAACGCGUGGGUAACCUACCCUCCAGUUGGGGAUAAUCCCGCGAAAGUGGGUCUAAUACCGGAUGACAUCGCCUCUCCUCGGAGGGGUGAUCAAAGAUGGCCUCUGGUACAAGCUAUCGCUGGGGGAGGGGCUCGCGUCCUAUUAGCUUGUUGGUGGGGUAACGGCCCACCAAGGCGACGAUGGGUAGCCGGCCUGAGAGGGUGUCCGGCCACACUGGAACUGAGACACGGUCCAGACUCCUACGGGAGGCAGCAGUGGGGAAUUUUUCGCAAUGGGCGAAAGCCUGACGAAGCGACGCCGCGUGGACGAUGAAGGCCUUCGGGUCGUAAAGUCCUGUCGGGUGGGAAGAAAAGUAUGAGCUCGAAUAAAGCUCAUGCUUGACGGUACCACCCAAGGAAGCCCCGGCCAACUCCGUGCCAGCAGCCGCGGUAAUACGGGGGGGGCAAGCGUUAUUCGGAAUCACUGGGCGUAAAGGGCGUCUAGGCGGUCGGGUAAGUCGUGGGUGAAAGCCCCCGGCUCAACCGGGGAAGUGCCUGCGAAACUAUCCGACUUGAGGUCGGGAGAGGAGAGUGGAAUUCCCAGUGUAGCGGUGAAAUGCGCAGAUAUUGGGAGGAACACCAGUGGCGAAGGCGGCUUUCUGGACCGACCCUGACGCUGAAGCGCGAAAGCUAGGGGAGCGAACGGGAUUAGAUACCCCGGUAGUCCUAGCCGUAAACGAUGGGCACUUGGUGUAGCAGGAUUUAAAACCUGCUGUGCCGAAGCUAACGCAUUAAGUGCCCCGCCUGGGGAGUACGGCCGCAAGGCUGAAACUCAAAGGAAUUGACGGGGGCCCGCACAAGCGGUGGAGCAUGUGGUUUAAUUCGAUGCAACGCGAAGAACCUUACCGGGGCUUGAAGUGUGGUUGACAGGAUGAGAAAUUAUCCCUUCUCU
rnacentral:rRNA from 1 species